UACGUAGGGUGCGAGCGUUAAUCGGAAUUACUGGGCGUAAAGCGUGCGCAGGCGGCUUUGCAAGACAGAUGUGAAAUCCCCGGGCUCAACCUGGGAACUGCAUUUGUGACUGCAAGGCUAGAGUACGGCAGAGGGGGAUGGAAUUCCGCGUGUAGCAGUGAAAUGCGUAGAUAUGCGGAGGAACACCAAUGGCGAAGGCAAUCCCCUGGGCCUGUACUGACGCUCAUGCACGAAAGCGUGGGGAGCAACCAGG
rnacentral:rRNA from 1 species